GGUCCGUUUCCGGGGUGGAGCCAGGGAGGGCGGGAGUUUAGGCUGCGCUGACCCCUCUCAGCCCCCCCUCCAGGUGACCCCAGCCCCUGAAAAUCCUCACCCAGGGCCCCAAAUCUCCCAGCCCCAUGACCGCCAAACCUCUCGCCCUGGCCCCCUAAAUGCCCCAGGCCCCGGAGAUGACCGGCCUCCUCACCCCUUAACUUCCAGUGCCUCCCAAAUCUCCAAGCCCACCCUGUCCCGUGGUGGCAACUGAGGCUUCCCGGGGGCGUCGGCCUCAGAUUACCUGAGAACUGGGCAGCCUCGUCCUGAGCAUGACGGAGAAGGGGACCUGGGGCUAGGGAAUCCCUGAUUCAAUCAUGCCGCUCCCCAGGAGUCGUUCGGAGCCCAGGACAUGUCGGGAAUGAGGAGAUACGAAGUGGCGCUGGAGGCGGAGGAGGAGAUCUACUGGGGCUGUUUCUACUUUUUCCCCUGGCUGCGCAUGUGGCGGAGGGAGCGGAGCUCGGCGCACCCCGGGGAGCAGAAGCUGGAGCCUCUGCGAGGCCUGAUGAGCUGUCUGUCCAGCGGCCUGGGCCCUGCUCCCCAGCGCUCGGGUCGUAGCCUCCCCCGCCGCAGCCCCACCGCCGCUGCCCAGCCAGCCAGUGCAUUAAAGAUUUAAACCGAA